UACGUAGGGUGCGAGCGUGAAUCGGAAUUACUGGGCGUAAAGCGUGCGCAGGCGGUUUUGUAAGCCAGAUGUGAAAUCCCCGGGCUUAACCUGGGAAUGGCAUUUGGGACUGCAAGGCUUGAGUUUGGCAGAGGAGACUGGAAUUCCUGGUGUAGCAGUGAAAUGCGUAGAUAUCAGGAGGAAUACCGAUGGCGAAGGCAGGUCUCUGGGCUAGAACUGACGCUCAUGCACGAAAGCGUGGGGAGCAAACAGG
rnacentral:rRNA from 1 species